CUGCUGUGAUGAGACUCAGAAUUUGUCGCAAGUUUUUAUACUUGGUGAAACCGUCAACAGCAGUGUUGAUCCUGAGCGGUUACGUGUGAAG